ACCUCAGAUUAAUGUCAUUAAUCACAGAAAACUAGCGACAUUUAGCUAAAUGAGAGAAAGCUCUUAUAAUAGAGGAUGCAUCAGAAGACUUCAGAAAAGAAGAUCCUGAAAGUGAUCUACAAGAAGAGGACAGAAUAAUAGCUGCUGUAAACAAAGUCAAGAGGAGUGCUGAAAACACAGAGGAGGGGAGAAGAAAAGCGAGGAGAGAAUAUUUGAUCUGGAUUGCUUGUUUACGGAGAUAUGGUUCCCCAGCGGGAAACGGCAAGUCGUGCCAAAGAUUACAGCGAGUAUUAUGUGAUCGAGGCACAAUCACUCUUACUCGGCUAUGAAUUAUUCAAACGUGCAAACGGAUGUGGCUGAAGCACUCUCGUGGCAUUUGUAGAUAUGAGUUUCAUCACUCUUCAUCUGUCUGCAUACAGUAACACUGCAGCAGGGCACGGCGAUUUAUGAAACUGACCCCGGGGAUGGAGGAGAUGAGUCCGUAUGCUGUAGGAAAGUCUGAAAGGUGCAUUCUACAACCAAAUCCACCAUUACUUAACUGUCAUGCUUCCUGCUGUGCUCACAGUAACGAAGCCCAUUUCUCAGCAAGGCUUUCUGAGACUGAAUAGAAAUAAAAUGCCCUAGCUAACAGGACAGAAUGUAAAACCUGCCGCUACAUUUCAAAAAGCAACUUUCGGAUGUCUUUUCUGAGGUGAAGCUAAAUUUCCAAAGCAAACACAUCGGGAUGUCUUGUAAUAGGAAAAUAAUCAACUCUCAAUGAUGACAAAAACAGUCCAAGUGUACUUUGUAGACUGUACAUUUACAAUAAAAGUUGUGAAAACUUAUGUUCCAGCGACUCUAUAUACAGCCGUUCCCUCACUCAUCCAUCUAUCUUACUCAAGACGAGUGAAUGAUUAGCAUUUUUUUUUAUAAAAUAGCUACACGGUUUUAAUAUUAGCUUAAUAUUAUGUACAAUGCACAAGUCUUCAUAUGAGAUGACACAGGGAUAAAACAGACCCAAAUGCAGAUCCAAAUGAUUGCAUAAAUAAAAAAGAACAGGGUUUAUUAACUAAAAAACAUGAAAAAGGGACAAGGAUGAAAACUAAACCAGACAUGACAUCAGACAACAACAGAAGACAACAACAGGGGACACAACGCGGCUCGACUAAAUACUAAUCACAGUUAGACUCAUGAGGAACAGGUGUGCA